rnacentral:rRNA from 1 species
GACGAACGCUGGCGGCGUGCUUAACACAUGCAAGUCGAACGGAAAGGCCCUGCUUUUGUGGGGUGCUCGAGUGGCGAACGGGUGAGUAACACGUGAGUAACCUGCCCUUGACUUUGGGAUAACUUCAGGAAACUGGGGCUAAUACCGGAUAGGAGCUCCUGCUGCAUGGUGGGGGUUGGAAAGUUUCGGCGGUUGGGGAUGGACUCGCGGCUUAUCAGCUUGUUGGUGGGGUAGUGGCUUACCAAGGCUUUGACGGGUAGCCGGCCUGGGAGGGUGACCGGCCACAUUGGGACUGAGAUACGGCCCAGACUCCUACAGGGGGCAGCAGUGGGGAAUAUUGCACAAUGGGCGGAAGCCUGAUGCAGCAACGCCGCGUGCGGGAUGACGGCCUUCGGGUUGUAAACCGCUUUCGCCUGUGACGAAGCGUGAGUGACGGUAAUGGGUAAAGAAGCACCGGCUAACUACGUG